AUACGGAGGGUGCAAGCGUUACUCGGAAUCACUGGGCGUAAAGGACGCGUAGGCGGGUUGGUAAGUCAGAUGUGAAAUCCUACAGCUUAACUGUAGAACUGCAUUUGAAACUACUAACCUAGAGUAUGGGAGGGGGAGAUGGAAUUAGUGGUGUAGGGGUAAAAUCCGUAGAUAUCACUAGGAAUACCGAAAGCGAAGGCGAUCUCCUGGAACAUAACUGACGCUAAGGCGUGAAAGCGUGGGGAGCAAACAGGAUUAGAAACCCCAGUAGUCC
rnacentral:rRNA from 1 species